rnacentral:rRNA from 1 species
GAUGAACGCUGGCGGCGUGCCUAAUACAUGCAAGUCGAGCGAACGGACGAGAAUCUUGCUUCUCUGAUGUUAGCGGCGGACGUGUGAGUAACACGUGGAUAACCUACCUAUAAGACUGGGAUAACUUCGGGAAACCGUAGCUAAUACCGGAUAAUAUUUUGAACCGCAUGGUUCAAAAGUGAAAGACGGUCUUGCUGUCACUUAUAGAUGGAUCCGCGCUGCAUUAGCUAGUUGGUAAGGUAACGGCUUACCAAGGCAACGAUGCAUAGCCGACCUGAGAGGGUGAUCGGCCACACUGGAACUGAGACACGGUCCAGACUCCUACUGGAGGCAGCAGUAGGGAAUCUUCCGCAAUGGGCGAAAGCCUGACGGAGCAACGCCGCGUGAGUGAUGAAGGUCUUCGGAUCGUAAAACUCUGUUAUUAGGGAAGAACAUAUGUGUAAGUAACUGUGCACAUCUUGACGGUACCUAAUCAGAAAGCCACGGCUAACUACGUG